UCUGCUCGCAAGUGAUAACGAUAGUAUUACACCGGCAACGCAUCGCGGCGUCAUCUGCGAUGUCGUCCGUAAAAGAUCGGAUCGUGACGUGUUUUUCUUUGUUCGGCCUCACCGUCGCUUUUGUAUCUCCGCCAACGAAAGUGUAGCUAUUGUGAUUGAUUCUUUUUAAAAUAUUAAUAUCGGUUAGUUAUAAAAGUAAAUGACUUGUGUAUGUGAGAAUGAGCAGCGCACGGAGCGAAUGUGUACUGUGUGGGUGAAUAACGUGCGUAUAUUCCCUGUCGUAUCGCGGUGCUCGGCGAGCUUCAUACGUCGAUGUGUGCGAGAGUAUGCUUCGACAUCCAGCUUCGCGGCGAAGCCUUUUUUACUCCUUUAUUUUUAUUUUUUCCCGCGACAAGGCUGAAGUACUCUCAAGCAUGUGGCGUUUGUUAUUGGUAAUCGUAUGAACUAUGCUUGUGAAGUAGAAUCGUAUUAGAUUAUUGUGCUUGAUUCUUAUAAUUUUUAAAGUCUAACUUUGGCCAGUGUACCGCAAGAGUCAAUCAAGUACUGUUUUAAAAACAUUAUCACAAAAACAAAAUCGAGGCGACCCUAUUUAGAAUCAUUGAUAACAGGAUUUAGUUUAAUAUGCUCAAUCUCUUAUAUGAAGCGUCGUAUGUUUUGGUUAUUGUACAAUGACGGGUUCAACAAGACAAGCACGUGCUUGUGAUAGUCGUUUCCAGUUUGUACCGUUCGGAGGUGGUUUGGUGCGCGGCCGUGGCCGGAGCGGCUCCUGAACGAGUUCGGGCGCUUCUCGACUAUCAGGUGCUACUUGAUACUUGUUCUUCUAACUGGACCCCUGUCAGCUGUUUCGUUGUUGUCAUAGGUAUAUUGUUCGCAAUUCGGGAUGUCUUCUUAUUAUAAGGUCACUACUUAUGUUUGGGACAAUCCACGAAAUGUUUACAAUAGUCGAGUUUCUAUAAGGGUUUUCUAAAUCGGCCGGUAUAGAAUAAUUGAGAAAAUAAAGAUUUACAACGUAUGUAACGUUUAAGAGCAAGAUAAUUUAUAACGAGCACGUCAUGAAGCGUAUAUCGGGAUCGUCUCGUGUGGAGCGGGGCGGUCCCUGGCGGUCCCCGGCGGUCCCUGGU